UCAAGUAAUUAAGUGCAUGUGGUGGAUGCCUUGGCAGUCAGAGGCGAUGAAAGACGUGAUAGCCUGCGAAAAGCUCCGGGGAGGCGGCAAAUAUCCUUUGAUCCGGAGAUGUCUGAAUGGGGGAACCCACCUACUUUAAGGUAGGUAUUGCAACAUGAAUACAUAGUGUUGCAAGGCGAACGAGGGGAAGUGAAACAUCUCAGUACCCUUAGGAAAAGAAAUCAAUUGAGAUUCCUCAGUAGCGGCGAGCGAACGGGGAUCAGCCCAUUAAGUUAUGUGUGUUUAGUGGAACGCUCUGGGAAGUGCGAACGUAGAGGGUGAUAUUCCCGUACACGAAAGGGCACACAUAAUGAUGACGAGUAGGGCGAGGCACGUGAAACCUUGUCUGAAUAUGGGGGGACCAUCCUCCAAGGCUAAAUACUCCUGACUGACCGAUAGUGAACCAGUACCGUGAGGGAAAGGCGAAAAGAACCCCUGUGAGGGGAGUGAAAUAGAUCCUGAAACCGCAUGCAUACAAGCAGUGGGAGCACCUUCGUGGUGUGACUGCGUACCUUUUGUAUAAUGGGUCAGCGACUUAUAUUCAGUAGCGAGGUUAACCGUAUAGGGGAGCCGUAGAGAAAUCGAGUCUUAAUAGGGCGUUUAGUUGCUGGGUAUAGACCCGAAACCAGGCGAUCUAUCCAUGAGCAGGUUGAAGGUUGGGUAACACUAACUGGAGGACCGAACCCACUGUCGUUGAAAAGCCAGGGGAUGACUUGUGGAUAGGGGUGAAAGGCUAAUCAAGCCUGGUGAUAGCUGGUUCUCCCCGAAAGCUAUUUAGGUAGCGCCUCGGACGAAUACCAUAGGGGGUAGAGCACUGUUUCGGCUAGGGGGUCAUCCCGACUUACCAAACCGAUGCAAACUCCGAAUACCUAUGAGUACUAUCCGGGAGACAGACUGCGGGUGCUAACGUCCGUAGUCAAGAGGAAAACAAUCCAGACCGCCAGCUAAGGCCCCAAAAUCAUAGUUAAGUGGGAAACGAUGUGGGAAGGCAUAGACAGCUAGGAGGUUGGCUUAGAAGCAGCCACCCUUUAAAGAAAGCGUAAUAGCUCACUAGUCGAGUCGGCCUGCGCGGAAGAUGUAACGGGGCUAAAACUAUGUGCCGAAGCUGCGGAUGUAUACUUUGUAUACGUGGUAGGGGAGCGUUCUGUAAGCCGAUGAAGGUGUGUUGAGAAGCAUGCUGGAGGUAUCAGAAGUGCGAAUGCUGACGUGAGUAACGACAAAACGGGUGAAAAACCCGUUCGCCGAAAGACCAAGGGUUCCAGUCCAACGUUAAUCGGGGCUGGGUGAGUCGACCCCUAAGGCGAGGCCGAAAGGCGUAGUCGAUGGGAAAAUGGUUAAUAUUCCAUUACUUCUGUGUAAUGCGAUGAGAGGACGGAGAAGGCUAAAUCAGCCUGGCGUUGGUUGUCCAGGUGAAAGGAUGUAGGCAUGUAUCUUAGGCAAAUCCGGGGUACUCUAUGCUGAGAUCUGAUAGCAAGCUGUACUUGUACAGCGAAGUGGUUGAUGCCAUGCUUCCAGGAAAAGUCUCUAAGCUUCAGUUACACAGGAAUCGUACCCGAAACCGACACAGGUGGUCAGGUCGAGUAGACCAAGGCGCUUGAGAGAACUCUGCUGAAGGAACUAGGCAAAAUGGUACCGUAACUUCGGGAGAAGGUACGCUGUUGUUGGUGAUGGAACUCGCUUCCUGAGCUGACGACAGCCGCAGAAACCAGGCCGCUGCAACUGUUUAUUAAAACAUAGCACUCUGCAAACACGAAAGUGGACGUAUAGGGUGUGAUGCCUGCCCGGUGCUGGAAGGUUAAUUGAUGGGGUUAGCGUAAGCGAAGCUCUUGAUCGAAGCCCCAGUAAACGGCGGCCGUAACUAUAACGGUCCUAAGGUAGCGAAAUUCCUUGUCGGGUAAGUUCCGACCUGCACGAAUGGCAUAAUGAUGGCGGCGCUGUCUCCAGCAGAGGCUCAGUGAAAUCGAAAUCGCUGUGAAGAUGCAGUGUACCCGCGGCUAGACGGAAAGACCCCGUGAACCUUUACUGCAGCUUGACACUGAACUUUGACCUUACUUGUGUAGGAUAGGUGGGAGGCUUUGAAGCUGGAACGCUAGUUCCAGUGGAGCCGUCCUGAAAUACCACCCUGGUAAUGUUGAGGUUCUAACUCUGUCCCGUGAUCCGGGACGAGGACCGUGUCUGGUGGGUAGUUUGACUGGGGCGGUCUCCUCCUAAAGAGUAACGGAGGAGUACGAAGGUGCGCUCAGCGUGGUCGGAAAUCACGCGUAGAGUAUAAAGGCAAAAGCGCGCUUAACUGCGAGACCCACAAGUCGAGCAGGUACGAAAGUAGGUCUUAGUGAUCCGGUGGUUCUGUAUGGAAGGGCCAUCGCUCAACGGAUAAAAGGUACUCUGGGGAUAACAGGCUGAUACCGCCCAAGAGUUCAUAUCGACGGCGGUGUUUGGCACCUCGAUGUCGGCUCAUCUCAUCCUGGGGCUGAAGCAGGUCCCAAGGGUAUGGCUGUUCGCCAUUUAAAGAGGUACGCGAGCUGGGUUUAGAACGUCGUGAGACAGUUCGGUCCCUAUCUACCGUGGGCGCUGGAAAUUUGAGAGGAUCUGCUCCUAGUACGAGAGGACCAGAGUGGACGAACCUCUGGUGUACCGGUUGUGACGCCAGUCGCAUCGCCGGGUAGCUAUGUUCGGAAGGGAUAACCGCUGAAAGCAUCUAAGCGGGAAGCCUACCUCAAGAUAAGAUUUCCCUAGGACUUUAUGUCCUCUAAAGAGCCGUUCGAGACUAGGACGUUGAUAGGUUGGAUGUGGAAGCAUAGUGAUAUGUGAAGCUGACCAAUACUAAUUGCUCGUGAGGCUUGACUA
rnacentral:rRNA from 1 species